UGGAGCACACAUUGGACCAACCUGUAAAUGUUGAAUAGCACAGGCAACAGUAGCAGAAGCAACCAUAUUUCUUCAUCUGCGCUUGACACAUAUCACCUCAGGGAUUUCACCUUCCACUAUGCAUACGGGGAGCCUUCGACUGAUUACUUCUCUCUAUGCCAUUGACAUUCUAUGUAAGAAAACUUUUUUUUCCUUCAGCGUUUUCUAUAAUUUUCUGAAUUUCUAAGAAUGUAAUAUCAUGUGUGUGUAUAUAAAAACUUUGUGCUUCUUUUGGUUUUAUAUGUUUUAUCUUUAAUUGUUACAAAUGGAAUUUGAAUUAAGACAGCACCAGCAAUAGAUCCUAUGGGUAGAUGUAAUAUUAAGACAAAUAUUUCCUACCAGCUUUGGAACCAAAUUAUGCUUCUUGGUUUUGGAGUGGCUUAACGAUGUAACGACGUGAUAUUAUUAAAGAUGAGUAAUUAGAGAUAAUUUUUGUUUAUUUAUAUUCAUUAUAUAAAUGAAUUUUUCAACUGCUUCCAGAUUCCCUCCCCCCCUUUUUAUGUGAUAGGUCAUAGAAAGACUAAUAGAAAUAUACUCAUGCUAGAGCACUUCUAGGAUUCUUCAUCCAAAGUCGAUCAGUUUUUAUGCUGUUAAGGUUGGAAUUCAGUUUGUUUCCAACACGCGAUGUUUUCAAUGGAAUCAAAAGAUGUAAUAUUGUUCCAAAUAUUUUAGAAGAUUGAGAAAUUGUUGAAAAGGAAUGAAAAUGAAUGGCAAGUUGACACUGACAGGACAAUAUAAUUUUCUUAUCACACAUUGUUCUCUUUCAUAAUCAUAUCUCCAAUCCCCAUUUUCAUCUCAUUCUUAUUUUCUGUAUUGAACCAGAAACACUAGCUAGUGAGAAAGAAGAUGGUAUAUCCCAAUUUAUGCCAAAAGAAAUUCUGUUUCUAAGCCUAUUUUGAUAGGAUGAAUCUCAAGAGAGUUUGAUCCUUACUCAGGAUGCUUAACACAUGCAAGUCAAAUGGGAAGUGGUGUUUCUACAUUCAAGGAUUUGUAUCGACCUUGAGGUCCUUUUGUAAGACCAGCAAGAAAUUCACCAUUUACCUGUGGAGGCGAUGAGAUGGCUUUUGUUUUUUUUGGAGUAAUGAUAAAAUUCCAUUGCAUCCAAAUCAAUCCGCCUUCCGCCUAAGCUACGCAUGAAAGGCCCCAAAGCUAUUUCUUUGGAAAGCUCUUACUAAGAUGAGAAAUUCUCCGAUAAAGCUGCUUCACCGUUCCUUGGGACUGGGAAGUAAGUAGUCCAAAACAGAUUCGAGUCAGAACCCAAAGUUCGUUUUCUCGAACUGAGGAUGGGUUUUUGGAGUUUUAUAAACAUGGUUGAUCGUCACUACACCUCAAAUGUUAGUGGAAAGUGUGACCACACCUGUCGUUCCAACCUAAAAAUUCCCUUUUCAAAUCUAUUUUU
rnacentral:lncRNA from 1 species